UACGUAGGGGGCUAGCGUUGUCCGGAAUCAUUGGGCGUAAAGAGCGUGUAGGCGGUCCGGUAAGUCCGCUGUGAAAGUCGGGGGCUCAACCCUCGAAUGCCGGUGGAUACUGUCGGGCUAGAGUGCGGAAGAGGCGAGUGGAAUUCCUGGUGUAGCGGUGAAAUGCGUAGAUAUCGAGAGGAACACCUGCGGCGAAGGCGGGUUGCUGGGCUGAUACUGACGCUGAUGCGCGAAAGCCAGGGGAGCGAACGGG
rnacentral:rRNA from 1 species